GAUGAACGCUGGCGGCGUGCCUAAUACAUGCAAGUCGAACGGUAACAGGUCUAGCUUGCUAGAUGCUGACGAGUGGCGGACGGGUGAGUAACGCGUGGGAAUCUGCCUUCUAGUGGGGGAUAGCCCGGAGAAAUCCGGAUUAAUACCGCAUACGCCCUACGGGGAAAGCCGGGGAGUCUUCGGACCUGGCGCUAGUAGAUGAGCCGCGUGAGAUUAGCUUGUUGGUGGGGUAAGUGGCCUACCAAGGUAACGAUCUCUAGCUGGUCUGAGAGGACGAUCAGCCACACUGGGACUGAGACACGGCCCAGACUCCUACGGGAGGCAGCAGUGGGGAAUAUUGGACAAUGGGCGAAAGCCUGAUCCAGCAAUGCCGCGUGUGUGAAGAAGGCCUGAGGGUUGUAAAGCACUUUCAAUCGUGAAGAAAAGUUGCAGGCUAAUACCCUGUGACCUUGACGUUAACGAUACAAGAAGCACCGGUCUAACUCCGUG
rnacentral:rRNA from 1 species